rnacentral:lncRNA from 10 species
CUGGCCCUGGCAUCUACCCCAGCGGUCCUGCCCUCCUGCUAACCCACGCCCUGACCCCAGAGGCCAGAGAGGUAUCUGUUUACUGAAGGAUCCCAGGGACCUUCCUGUGGCCCUGGGGACGGAUGGGGUUCAGCUUGCUGGAGGGGCCGGCCAGCCUCCAACCUCCUCACAGGGAGAGCCUCCCUCUCCACUCUCUCCCCAGGGAUGGCUCUUGGGGGCUCAAGGGAGCCUGGGCCUCUGCCAGCCUGCAAGCUGCCUCCAACUCUCAGUCAGGAUUUGGAUGCCCCCAGUGCAGUCCUGAGGCCGCCGCCCCCCAUCCUACUAUCCUGCUUCUGAGGCGUCUCGGAAUCAUAGGCCUCCCGUGGAAGGGGAGCAGCAGGCGAGGUCUGCGUGAGCCCCACAGAUGCCCGCUCGCCUGCCAGACUUAAAAGUCUGUGCCCCUCCCCGACCACCAGGGUACCCAGAUCCCAGGCGGCUCAGCCAGGCCCAGAGCCCCAAGAGCUGGGCUGUUCUCUCCAACUGGGAUCUGGGGUAGGGGCUGCUCCCCCAAGUCCCUGGGGGACUGUCUGGGACAUCCAGGCCCUGUCUUCUUGUCUUAACCACUCACAACAGAGAACACGAUGUUCUGUCCACGAAAGAAGGCCCCACACUUCUCCCAUCUGGCCUCCACGUAAACGCGUGGGCACCACCGCCGCCUCAGCCAGCCUCUGAAGGGUCA